GAUCCUGGCUCAGGAUGAACGCUAGCUACAGGCUUAACACAUGCAAGUCGAGGGGCAGCAUGGUCUUAGCUUGCUAAGGCCGAUGGCGACCGGCGCACGGGUGAGUAACACGUAUCCAACCUGCCGUCUACUCUUGGACAGCCUUCUGAAAGGAAGAUUAAUACAAGAUGGCAUCGUGAGUUCACAUGUUCACAUGAUUAAAGGUAUUCCGGUAGGCGAUGGGGAUGCG
rnacentral:rRNA from 1 species